UACGUAGGGGGCAAGCGUUGUCCGGAAUCAUUGGGCGUAAAGAGCGUGUAGGCGGCCCGAUAAGUCCGCUGUGAAAGUCCAGGGCUCAACCCUGGGAUGCCGGUGGAUACUGUCGGGCUCGAGUCCGGAAGAGGAGUGUGGAAUUCCUGGUGUAGCGGUGAAAUGCGCAGAUAUCAGGAGGAACACCAAUGGCGAAGGCGGCACUCUGGGACGUGACUGACGCUGAGACGCGAAAGCGUGGGGAGCGAACAGG
rnacentral:rRNA from 1 species